rnacentral:lncRNA from 1 species
GUUCCCAGGACAAAGCCAAUACCAAUAUUUGCAUUGGUGACGUGAGAGUUAACACUUCCCACAAAGAGCUUUGUUCUUUGCCCACAGUUUCCUCGUAAGGCAACUGACAGUUGAAGUUUUUAGAAACUGAGAGAAGAAAUUUGACUCAUUGAAAGGGAUAGGACCAGAAGAUGGCCCCUGAAUCCAGGAGAACCUAGCCCAAACUUGCUGUAAAAAUAUGAUUUCCAGGGCUGACCACAAUCUGGCCCUGAGGAGCAGGGCUGCCAGGGGAAGAGCCAUUGACCCAGGGAAGCAGCAACGGCUUGGGGGAGGGUGUGUGCAAGAACCCCAAGCUGGCUGUGACCGGCAAAGUGGGGCCUGUCCAACAUGGUGCCAGGUCUUACCCUAAUGGAUCUUAACCAGAACUAUGCUGAAAACGCACAAGUGCCUCGUUCCCAGGAAUUCGUACUCAGUAGAUUGAGAUGGAUCCUGAGAAGGUGUGUUUGGAGAUCACUCUCUAAGGGAUUCAGAUGCUCGACAAUAGAUAAGCACUUUCAUUCAUCUGAAAUAUAUGUUGGCGUAAGUUUUAACUUAUGUAAGGUUAUAAUUUUAUAUUUUUUCAAAAUGUUUAGACCUGUAACCCACCACCAUUUACUGAAUAAUGUAUCCAUAUACCAAUAUCUUCCUAACAUAUCUCCAGCCAAGACUUCUUUUGAGCUCUAGGUCUAGAGACCUUGAGCUCUAAAUUUUUAAACGCAACUGGUGAUUUGGCAGCUCCCUUUGCACAUAUAAAAAGCAACUCAAUAUGUUCAAGACUGAGUGCCUAAGUCUGAUUUUCCUCAAGUAUUCCCCACUCAGGUGAAUGGUGUCACCAUCAAUACCAUCACUCUUGAUGAUUUCUUCUCUCUCAACUCUGUAGCCAACAUAUCAAUAAGUAAUCUCUAUUUUCAAAGUAUCUCUUACAUUAUCCACUUCCCUCCAUCUCUAUUGCCACCAUCCUAGUUCAACCUAUCAUCUCUCAUCAUCUUCUCAUUAGCAGCAAUAGCCAACUAUGUUGAGUUCCCACAUAGUCUUGGCUUUCCUCUGCUGUAUCUUCUACACUGUAGCCAGUGUGAUCUCUUUUAAAAGCAUGUUUUAUUAUGUUGUCACAUCUUAGUGAUUCCAUGUUGCAUCCUUACCAUGCACUGCAAUGCUGUACAGGGUCUCCCCUGCUGACCACCCCACUCUCAUUUCUCUCUGUCCUCUGCCAUGCUCCUGAAUUGCCAUCAAAAUGGCUGUUUUUCAUUUUCUCAACCACAGCGUGUUUCCUCCCACCACAGGGCCUUUGCACACACCAUUUCCUAUCCCUGGAAACCUCUUCC